UACAGAGGUCUCAAGCGUUGUUCGGAUUCAUUGGGCGUAAAGGGCGCGUAGGCGGGCGCAACAAGUCACUUGUGAAAUCUCCGGGCUUAACUCGGAACGGUCAAGUGAUACUGUUGUGCUAGAGUGCGGAAGGGGCAACUGGAAUUCUCGGUGUAGCGGUGAAAUGCGUAGAUAUCAGGAGGAACACCCGUAGCGAAGGCGGCACUCUGGGCCGAUACUGACGCUCAUGCACGAAAGCUAGGGGGAGCGAACUGG
rnacentral:rRNA from 1 species